rnacentral:rRNA from 1 species
UAGGGAAUCUUCCACAAUGGACGCAAGUCUGAUGGAGCAACGCCGCGUGAGUGAAGAAGGUUUUCGGAUCGUAAAGCUCUGUUGUUGGUGAAGAAGGAUAGAGGCAGUAACUGGUCUUUAUUUGACGGUAAUCAACCAGAAAGUCACGGCUAACUACGUGCCAGCAGCUGCGGUAAUACGUAGGUGGCAACCGUUGUCCGGAUUUAUUGGGCGUAAAGCGAGCGCAGGCGGAAUGAUAAGUCUGAUGUGAAAGCCCACGGCUCAACCGUGGGAUUGCAUCGGAAACUGUCAUUCUUGAGUGCAGAAGAGGAGAGUGGAAUUCCAUGUGUAGCGGUGGAAUGCGUAGAUAUAUGGAAGAACACCAAUUGCGAAGGCGGCUCUCUGGUCUGCAACUGACGCUGUGACUCGAAAGAAUGGGUAGCGAACAGG